rfam:Toxocara canis scaffold1919, whole genome shotgun sequence.
GCGGCAAUAGCUCAGUGGUAGAGCCCCCGCUUCGCAUACGGGGAAGACCCGGGUUCGAUUCCCGGCUGCUUCC